AUUGAACGCUGGCGGCAGGCCUAACACAUGCAAGUCGAGCGAGCGGCGGUCGGGUGAGUAAUGCCUAGGUAUCUGCCUGGUAGCGGGGGAUAACGUCCGGAACCGGGCGCUAAUACCGCAUCCUCUCAGAUGUGCCCAGAUGGGAUUGGCUGGUGGGUGGGGUAACGGCUAACCAAGGCGACGAUCCCUAGCUGGUCUGAGAGGAUGACCAGCCACACUGGAACUGAGACACGGUCCAGACUCCUACGGGAGGCAGCAGUGGGGAAUAUUGCACAAUGGGCGCAAGCCUGAUGCAGCCAUGCCGCGUGUAUGAAGAAGGCCUUCGGGUUGUAAAGUACUUUCAGCGGGGAGGCGUUACCCGCAGAAGAAGCACCGGCUAACUCCGUGCCAGCAGCCGCGGUAAUAC
rnacentral:rRNA from 1 species